rnacentral:rRNA from 1 species
UACGAAGGGGGCUAGCGUUGUUCGGAAUCACUGGGCGUAAAGCGCACGUAGGCGGAUUUUUAAGUCAGGGGUGAAAUCCCGAGGCUCAACCUCGGAACUGCCUUUGAUACUGGAGAUCUUGAGUCCGGAAAAGGUAAGUGGAACUGCGAGUGUAGAGGUGAAAUUCGUAGAUAUUCGCAAGAACACCAGUGGCGAAGGCGGCUUACUGGUCCGGAACUGACGCUGAGGUGCGAAAGCGUGGGGAGCAAACAGG